rnacentral:rRNA from 1 species
CCUACGGGAGGCAGCAGUGGGGAAUAUUGCACAAUGGGGGAAACCCUGAUGCAGCGACGCCGCGUGAGCGAUGAAGUAUUUCGGUAUGUAAAGCUCUAUCAGCAGGGAAGAAAAUGACGGUACCUGACUAAGAAGCCCCGGCUAACUACGUGCCAGCAGCCGCGGUAAUACGUAGGGGGCAAGCGUUAUCCGGAUUUACUGGGUGUAAAGGGAGCGUAGACGGUCCUGCAAGCCAGAUGUGAAAGCCCGGGGCUCAACCCCGGGACUGCAUUUGGAACUGUAAGGCUAGAGUGUCGGAGAGGCAGGCGGAAUUCCUAGUGUAGCGGUGAAAUGCGUAGAUAUUAGGAGGAACACCAGUGGCGAAGGCGGCUUUCUGGACUGAAACUGACGCUGAGGCACGAAAGCGUGGGGAGCGAACAGGAUUAGAUACCCCUGUAGUC